rnacentral:rRNA from 1 species
UUGUUCGGAAUUACUGGGCGUAAAGCGCACGUAGGCGGAUUUGUAAGUCAGUGGUGAAAUCCCGGGGCUCAACCUCGGAACUGCCUUUGAUACUGCAAAUCUCGAGUCCGGAAGAGGUGAGUGGAAUUCCUAGUGUAGAGGUGAAAUUCGUAGAUAUUAGGAAGAACACCAGUGGCGAAGGCGGCUCACUGGGCCGGUACUGACGCUGAGGUGCGAAAGCGUGGGGAGCAAACAGG